UACGAAGGGUGCAAGCGUUACUCGGAAUUACUGGGCGUAAAGCGCGCGUAGGCGGCUUUGUAAGUCAGAGGUGAAAGCCUGGAGCUCAACUCCAGAACUGCCUUUGAGACUGCAUCGCUAGAAUCAUGGAGAGGUUAGUGGAAUUCCGAGUGUAGAGGUGAAAUUCGUAGAUAUUCGGAAGAACACCAGUGGCGAAGGCGACUAACUGGACAUGUAUUGACGCUGAGGUGCGAAAGCGUGGGGAGCAAACAGG
rnacentral:rRNA from 1 species